UGAAGAGUUUGAUCAUGGCUCAGAUUGAACGCUGGCGGCAGGCCUAACACAUGCAAGUCGAACGGUAACAUUUCUAGCUUGCUAGAAGAUGACGAGUGGCGGACGGGUGAGUAAUACUUAGGGAUCUGCCCUUUGGAGGGGGAUAACCAUUGGAAACGAUGGCUAAUACCGCAUAUUACCUACGGGUAAAAGGG
rnacentral:rRNA from 1 species